AUUAAAUUGAGAGUUUGAUCCUGGCUCAGGACGAACGCUGGCGGCGUGCUUAACACAUGCAAGUCGAACGGGAUUUAGUAGACAGAAACCUCGGUGGAAGAUUACUAAUGAGAGUGGCGAACGGGUGAGUAACGCGUGAGCAACCUGCCUAUGACAGUGGGAUAGCCUCGGGAAACCGGGAUUAAUACCGCAUAAAAUCGUAGAAACACAUGUUUCAACGGUCAAAGAUUUAUCGGUCAUAGAUGGGCUCGCGUCUGAUUAGCUAGUUGGUGAGAUAACAGCCCACCAAGGCGACGAUCA
rnacentral:rRNA from 1 species